CCUACGGGGUGCAGCAGUCGAGAAUCAUUCACAAUGGGGGAAACCCUGAUGGUGCGACGCCGCGUGGGGGAAUGAAGGUCUUCGGAUUGUAAACCCCUGUCAUGUGGGAGCAAAUUAAAAAGAUAGUACCACAAGAGGAAGGGACGGCUAACUCUGUGCCAGCAGCCGCGGUAAUCCAGAGGUCUCAAGCGUUGUUCGGAAGCACUGGGCGUAAAGCGUGCGUAGGCUGUUUCGUAAGUCGUGUGUGAAAGGCGCGGGCUCACCCCGCGGACGGCACAUGAUACUGCGAGACUAGAGUAAUGGAGGGGGAACCGGAAUUCUCGGUGUAGCAGUGAAAUGCGUAGAUAUCGAGAGGAACACUCGUGGCGAAGGCGGGUUCCUGGACAUUAACUGACGCUGAGGCACGAAGGCCAGGGGAGCGAAAGGGAUUAGAUACCCUUGGAGUC
rnacentral:rRNA from 1 species